rnacentral:rRNA from 1 species
AUGAACCCAACCUCGGCCCCUGGCCCAGAUGGCCUUCCAGUUAAGUUCUUCCAGAGCUUCUGGAAUGUGAUCAAGCCGGAGGUCAUGGCCAUCUUCGACGAGUUCUAUGUUGGGUCCAUCGAUCUCGGGCGCCUUAACUACGGGACGAUCUCGCUCAUCCCCAAGGUUCCUGGUGCUUCUGACAUCCGUCAGUUCCGCCCUAUCACAGUGAUUAACGUGAUUUUCCGGAUUCUGGCUAAAGGGUACGCCAAUAGGGUGACCCUGCUCACUGACCAUAUUACCCACCCCAACCAAUCGGCUUUCAUCCAAGGCCGUUAUAUUCUGGAUGGGGUGUUGGUCCUUCAUGAAGUCCUCCAUGAAGUCCGCUCCAAGCACCUCAAAGCGGUCUUUCUGAAGAUCGAUUUCCAUAAGGCCUAUGACACUGUCAGCUGGCCCUUCCUUCAGGAAGUUCUGCUGCGAAAAGGCUUCGAUGACCGUUGGGUGACUCGGGUUAUGCAGAUGGUUUUGUGUGGGCGCACGGCUGUCAACAUCAACAUCGAGAUUGGCCCUUACUUCCCCAUGUUCUGUGGGGUGAGGCAGGGUGACCCUUUUUCCCCAUUCCUAUUUAAUAUGGUGGUUGAUGCUCUUGCGGCCAUCCUG